UGGGGAAUUUUGGACAAUGGGCGCAAGCCUGAUCCAGCCAUGCCGCGUGCAGGGUGAAGGCCCUCGGGUUGUAAACUGCUUUUGUACGGAACGAAAAGCCUCUUUCUAAUAAAGAGGGGUGAUGACGGUACCGUAAGAAUAAGCACCGGCUAACUACGUGCCAGCAGCCGCGGUAAUACGUAGGGUGCGAGCGUUAAUCGGAAUUACUGGGCGUAAAGCGUGCGCAGGCGGUCUUGCAAGACAGUGGUGAAAUCCCCGGGCUCAACCUGGGAACUGCCAUUGUGACUGCAAGGCUGGAGUACGGCAGAGGGGGAUGGAAUUCCGCGUGUAGCAGUGAAAUGCGUAGAUAUGCGGAGGAACACCGAUGGCGAAGGCAGUCCCCUGGGCCUGUACUGACGCUCAUGCACGAAAGCGUGGGGAGCAAACA
rnacentral:rRNA from 1 species